rnacentral:rRNA from 1 species
UACAGAGGUCUCGAGCGUUAGGCGGAAUCACUGGGCUUAAAGCGUGUGUAGGCGGAUCGGUAAGUACCUUGUGAAAUCCCACAGCUUAACUGUGGAACUGCUCGGUAUACUGCCAGUCUUGAGCCAGCUAGGGGCUACCGGAACAAAUGGUGGAGCGGUGAAAUGCGUAGAUAUCAUUUGGAACGCCAAUGGUGAAAACAGGUAGCUGGGGCUGUGCUGACGCUGAGACACGAAAGCCAGGGGAGCAAACGGG